rnacentral:lncRNA from 1 species
UUACACUCCACGAGGGCAGCAGAAAAGGACAGGACGAUUAAGUUUAAGUUGUGGAAGACUGGUUGGGAGCAAAAGAGUUACUUUUCUCCAAAUUUGCCAUAUCACAUCGAAAGCAUUUUCUUUUAACCAGAGUGUAGCCAAUCAAAAUUAACUGCAGGCGCUGGCAAUUAAAGAACAAGUUUAUCUCAAAAAAGGUUUAACGUUUGGAGGCCAUUAUUUGCAUCAGGCAUAUGGAAACUUGCGUUCUGUUAGGUAUGCUGAAGAAACUGCUUUUGCCAGACUGCCUGAGUCUUUGCUGAGGCUGCAGGGACAAGGGAGAACCCCACCCUGACUGCUUCCAAAACCCUAGUUCCUGAUUUCCUGCAGAGGGCACCUACAGGCUGAACCUAAAAGGCGAACAAAUUCCUGCCUGUCAUUCAAAAGCAGCUACCUUUUCUAAGGCAGCGUCAAGGAGGGCACUGGAGGUACUCAACACAGUAAUGAUUACUUUACCAAGUCCAAGGCAAUUGUCAAAUGUGGCAAAGAAAAACACUUCAUUGGGUUUUUCUUAGAAAUGAUUUUUCAUCCAAUUUCAAUCAAGAUCUUAAUGGAAAUUUUGAAAAUUACUCAUGAGGUUAUUUAAUAAAUCCAUCCCCAUUAUUUAAAGAAAGCCAUGUAAAGACAACAAAAUAUGGGCCAAGCACUUGUUCUUGAACAUUAUUGCUGAGAAAAAAAUAUGCAUUUGUAAAAUGGGGGGGG